rnacentral:rRNA from 1 species
AUUGAACGCUGGCGGCAGGCCUAACACAUGCAAGUCGAACGAGUGGCAGACGGGUGAGUAAUGUCGGGGAAACUGCCUGAUGGAGGGGGAUAACUACUGGAACCGUUGGCUAAUACCGCAUACCAUCGGAUUUGCCCAGAUUGGAUUGGCUUGUAGGUGGGGUAACGGCUCACCUAGGCGACGGUCCCUAGCCGGGCUGGGAGGAUGACCAGCCACCCGGGAACUGGGCACCGGUCAAGACGCCUACGGGAGGCAGCAGUGGGGAAUAUUGGACAAGGGGGGCAAGCCUGACGCAGCCAUGCCGCGGGUAGGAAGAAGGCCUUCGGGUUGUAAAGUACUUUCAGCGGGGAGGCGGUAACCGCAGAAGAAGCAACGGCGAACUACGUGCCAGCAGCCGCGGUAAUUC